AAACCUUAUCAUUUCAUUAUAUAAAAGGAUAGUGGACAUCAAAAGGUUCAUAUUGAACCAAAAAAAGAGAGAAGAAGCAAUAUGGCUUCCUCUGUCAUUUCUUCAGCAGCUGUUGCCACACGCAGCAAUGUUACACAAGCUAGCAUGGUUGCACCUUUCACUGGUCUCAAAUCUUCAGCCACUUUCCCUGUUACAAAGAAGCAAAACCUUGACAUCACUUCCAUUGCUAGCAAUGGUGGAAGAGUUAGCUGCAUGCAGGUGUGGCCACCAAUUAACAUGAAGAAGUACGAGACACUCUCAUACCUUCCUGAUUUGUCUGACGAGCAAUUGCUUAGUGAAAUUGAGUACCUUUUGAAAAAUGGAUGGGUUCCUUGCUUGGAAUUUGAGACUGAGCACGGAUUUGUCUACCGUGAGAACAACAAGUCACCAGGAUACUAUGAUGGAAGGUACUGGACCAUGUGGAAGUUGCCUAUGUUUGGGUGCACUGAUGCAACCCAAGUGUUGGCUGAGGUUCAAGAGGCUAAAAAGGCAUACCCACAAGCAUGGGUCAGAAUCAUUGGAUUCGACAAUGUGCGUCAAGUGCAGUGUAUCAGUUUCAUUGCCUACAAGCCAGAAGGCUACUAAGUUUCAUAUUAGGAACAAAAUUGUCUUUAGGGACACUUUGUUUUUAAAUGCUACUUAGGUCUUUUUUCUUUUUUGUCUUAAUUCCAACAAACUCUUUGUGUCUUGUACUAUUCGGUUUAUGUUUUGGAUUUAUGAGUACCUAAUUAUAUGAUAAUGAUUU
rnacentral:misc_RNA from 1 species